CUGCUGGAUGCUGGGAAACACAGUAAGAACUCAAUAUAAAGGAAUCCGUUGGACAACUUACCUAGAUAUAAGACAUUUUGAUGAAACCAGAUUGAGGCAUUUAUAUUUGCUUGUCUGGCUACUGCCUCCAUCAGUUCUAUUUAUAUAUGACAACUUACCUACUCAUUCUAUUCUGUUCGUUAUUUUCCUUUUUCGUUAACUAAAUGUUGAUUUAUAUUCUACUUUCUGUUUUUGUCUUUAUGUAUCCAGUUGUUUAUAUUUGCUUUGGAUUUCACUUUUAACCUUUUUUAUAUUUUAUUCUCUUUUUUUAAUUUUAUAUCUGCCUUUUGUACUUCAUUCGUAUACCUUGUUUUUUCUCAUUUCAAUUUUUACUAAUCUUCUUUUUU
rnacentral:lncRNA from 1 species